GCCGGGUGUGGUGGCGCACACCUGUAAUCCCCGCAGCUUGGGAGGCUGAGGUGGGAGGAUCGCUUGGACCCAGGAGGCGGAGGCUGCAGUGAGCUGAGACGGGGCCACUGCACUCCAGCCUGGGCGACAGAGCGAGACUCCGUCUCAA
rnacentral:SRP_RNA from 1 species